AGUGAACGCUGGCGGUAGGCCUAACACAUGCAAGUCGAACGGCAGCACAGUAAGAGCUUGCUCUUACGGGUGGCGAGUGGCGGACGGGUGAGGAAUACAUCGGAAUCUACUUUUUCGUGGGGGAUAACGUAGGGAAACUUACGCUAAUACCGCAUACGACCUACGGGUGAAAGCAGGGGAUCUUCGGACCUUGCGCGAUUGAAUGAGCCGAUGUCGGAUUAGCUAGUUGGCGGGGUAAAGGCCCACCAAGGCGACGAUCCGUAGCUGGUCUGAGAGGAUGAUCAGCCACAGUGGAACUGAGACACGGUCCAGACUCCUACGAGAGGCAGCAGUGGGGAAUAUUGGACAAUGGGCGCAAGCCUGAUCCAACCAUAACGCGUGGGUGAAGAAGGCCUUCGGGUUGUAAAGCCCUUUUGUGGGGAAAGAAAAGCAGCAGGUUAAUACCCAGCUGUUCUGACGGUACCCAAAGAAUAAGCACCGGCUAACUUCGUG
rnacentral:rRNA from 1 species